AGCCUUGUAGUGUAGUGGCCAAUCAUCUGAGCCUCUGGAGCUUGGGACCCAGGUUCGAAUCCUGGCAAGGCUA
rnacentral:tRNA from 1 species